rnacentral:rRNA from 1 species
UACAGAGGGGGCAAGCGUUGUUCGGAAUUACUGGGCGUAAAGGGCGCGUAGGCGGCCUGCUAAGUCGAACGUGAAAUCCCCGGGCUCAACCCGGGAACUGCGUCCGAUACUGGCAGGCUUGAAUUCGGGAGAGGGAUGCGGAAUUCCAGGUGUAGCGGUGAAAUGCGUAGAUAUCUGGAGGAACACCGAUGGCGAAGGCAGGUCUCUGGGCUGUAACUGACGCUGAGGCGCGAAAGCCAGGGGAGCAAACGGG